rnacentral:rRNA from 1 species
AUUGAACGCUGGCGGCAGGCCUAACACAUGCAAGUCGAACGGUAGCAGGAAGAAGCUUGCUUCUUCGCUGACGAGUGGCGGACGGGUGAGUAAUGUCUGGGAAACUGCCUGAUGGAGGGGGAUAACUACUGGAAACGGUAGCUAAUACCGCAUAACGUCGCAAGACCAAAGAGGGGGACCUUCGGGCCUCUUGCCAUCGGAUGUGCCCAGAUGGGAUUAGCUUGUUGGUGGGGUAACGGCUCACCAAGGCGACGAUCCCUAGCUGGUCUGAGAGGAUGACCAGCCACACUGGAACUGAGACACGGUCCAGACUCCUACGGGAGGCAGCAGUGGGGAAUAUUGCACAAAGGGCGCAAGCCUGAUGCAGCCAUGCCGCGUGUAUGAAGAAGGCCUUCGGGUUGUAAAGUACUUUCAGCGGGGAGGAAGGGAGUAAAGUUAAUACCUUUGCUCAUUGACGUUACCCGCAGAAGAAGCACCGGCUAACUCCGUG